rnacentral:sRNA from 1 species
AUAGAGCGAGGACGCUAACAGGAACAAUGACUCAGGAUGAGGGUCAGGAGCGCCAGGAGGCGAAGACAGAGGAUUGUCAGGAAGAUAAACGUCCGGAGACGUAAUUAAAUGGAAAUGGAAUCAACACGGAUUGUUCCGGCUAAUGGAAAAACAGGGUGUGUUGGCGGCCUGCAAGGAUUGUAAGACCCGUUAAGGGUUAUGAGUCAGGAAAAAAAAAAAAAAAGAAAAGAAGAGAGCGUCUUUUUUUUUUUUUUUUUUUUUUUUUUU